rnacentral:rRNA from 1 species
CGGGACCUAAUACAUGCAAGUCGAGCGGACCGACGGGAGCUUGCUCCCUUAGGUCAGCGGCGGACGGGUGAGUAACACGUGGGUAACCUGCCUGUAAGACUGGGAUAACUCCGGGAAACCGGGGCUAAUACCGGAUGCUUGAUUGAACCGCAUGGUUCAAUCAUAAAAGGUGGCUUUUAGCUACCACUUGCAGAUGGACCCGCGGCGCAUUAGCUAGUUGGUGAGGUAACGGCUCACCAAGGCGACGAUGCGUAGCCGACCUGAGAGGGUGAUCGGCCACACUGGGACUGAGACACGGCCCAGACUCCUACGGGAGGCAGCAGUAGGGAAUCUUCCGCAAUGGACGAAAGUCUGACGGAGCAACGCCGCGUGAGUGAUGAAGGUUUUCGGAUCGUAAAACUCUGUUGUUAGGGAAGAACAAGUACCGUUCGAAUAGGGCGGCACCUUGACGGUACCUAACCAGAAAGCCACGGCUAACUACGUGCCAGCAGCCGCGGUAAUACGUAGGUGGCAAGCGUUGUCCGGAAUUAUUGGGCGUAAAGCGCGCGCAGGCGGUUUCUUAAGUCUGAUGUGAAAGCCCCCGGCUCAACCGGGGAGGGUCAUUGGAAACUGGGGAACUUGAGUGCAGAAGAGGAGAGUGGAAUUCCACGUGUAGCGGUGAAAUGCGUAGAGAUGUGGAGGAACACCAGUGGCGAAGGCGACUCUCUGGUCUGUAACUGACGCUGAGGCGCGAAAGCGUGGGGAGCGAACAGGAUUAGAUACCCUGGUAGUCCACGCCGUAAACGAUGAGUGCUAAGUGUUAGAGGGUUUCCGCCCUUUAGUGCUGCAGCAAACGCAUUAAGCACUCCGCCUGGGGAGUACGGUCGCAAGACUGAAACUCAAAGGAAUUGACGGGGGCCCGCACAAGCGGUGGAGCAUGUGGUUUAAUUCGAAGCAACGCGAAGAACCUUACCAGGUCUUGACAUCCUCUGACAACCCUAGAGAUAGGGCUUCCCCUUCG